GGCACUGUGGCAGAGCGGUCUAAUGCGUAUGGUGGGUCAAAUUUCCAUCUCUCUCUUUAUGAAAGAUCAUAGUUGCUAAUCCAUAUUAUAGACUCGAACAUUGCGUUUAAUUAUAUCUCUUCGGAGGCGCCCGUUCGAAUCGGGCCAGUGUCG